CCUACGGGAGGCAGCAGUGAGGAAUAUUGGUCAAUGGCCUGAAGGCUGAACCAGCCAAGCCGCGUGAAGGACGAAGGUGCCAAGCAUUGUAAACUUCUUUUGUCAAGGGACAAAAUCAGGCUCGAGAGCCUGACCGAGGAUACUUGAAGAAAAAGCAUCGGCUAAAUCCGUGCCGAAGGCCGCGGUAUACGGAGGAUGCGAGCGUUAUCCGGAUUUAUUGGGUUUAAAGGGGGCGUAGGCGGACUGUUAAGUCAGCGGUAAAAACCCGGGGCUCAACCCCGGUGAGCCGUUGAAACUGGCGGUCUUGAGAUGUCGAGAGGUAUGCGGAAUGCGUGGUGUAGCGGUGAAAUGCUUAGAUAUCGCGCAGAACUCCGAUUGCGAAGGCAGCAUACCGGCGGCGAUCUGACGCUGAGGCACGAAAGCGUGGGUAUCGAACAGGAUUAGAUACCCUAGUAGUC
rnacentral:rRNA from 1 species